ACAGAGGCCUCGAGCGUUGUUCGGAAUUACUGGGCGUAAAGGGAAUGUAGGUGGUGGCGUAAGUCAGAUGUGAAAGCCCUGGGCUUAACCUGGGAAGUGCAUUUGAUACUGCGUCGCUAGAGUGCGUGAGAGGAAAGUGGAAUUUCCAGUGUAGGGGUGAAAUCCGUAGAUAUUGGAAGGAAUACCGAUGGCGAAGGCGGCAUCCUGGACCGAUACUGACGCUGAGGAGCGAAAGCCAGGGGAGCAAACGGGA
rnacentral:rRNA from 1 species